rnacentral:rRNA from 1 species
GACAGAGGGUGCAAACGUUGUUCGGAAUUACUGGGCGUAAAGCGCAUGUAGGCGGCCAAGCAGGUCGGAUGUGAAAUCCCUCGGCUCAACCAAGGAAGUGCAUUCGAAACCGCAUGGCUGGAGUCCCGGAGAGGAUGGUGGAAUUCUCGGUGUAGAGGUGAAAUUCGUAGAUAUCGAGAGGAACACCGGCGGCGAAGGCGGCCAUCUGGACGAGGACUGACGCUGAGAUGCGAAAGCGUGGGGAGCAAACAGG